rnacentral:ncRNA from 1 species
CAAAGGCUUGGUCCUGACUUUACUAUCGUCUUUAGCUAAACUUACACAUGCAAGUAUCCGCAUCCCCGUGAGAAUGCCCUACAGUUCCCUGCCCGGGAACAAGGAGCUGGUAUCAGGCGCACCAAUGCUAGCCCACGACACCUUGCUUGGCCACACCCCCAAGGGAACUCAGCAGUGAUAAACAUUAAGCAAUAAGUGAAAACUUGACUUAGUCAAAGCUAAGAGGGCCGGUAAAACUCGUGCCAGCCACCGCGGUUAUACGAGAGGCCCAAGUUGAUAGACACCGGCGUAAAGAGUGGUUAGGACUUUUUCAAAAUAAAGCCGAACACCUUCAGAGCUGUUAUACGCACCCGAAGACAAGAAGAUCAAUCACGAAAGUGGCUUUAGAACACUGAACCCACGAAAGCUAGGGCACAAACUGGGAUUAGAUACCCCACUAUGCCUAGCCGUAAACAUUGGCAGUAUAAUACAUUUACUACCCGCCUGGGAACUACGAGCAUCAGCUUGAAACCCAAAGGACUUGGCGGUGCUUUAGAUCCACCUAGAGGAGCCUGUUCUGGAACCGAUAACCCCCGUUCAACCUCACCUCUCCUUGUUUUCCCCGCCUAUAUACCGCCGUCGUCAGCUUACCCUGUGAAGGCCAAAUAGUAAGCAAAAUUGGCAUAGCCUAAAACGUCAGGUCGAGGUGUAGCGUAUGGAGGGGGAAGAAAUGGGCUACAUUUCCUACUAUAGGAAACACGAACGAUACACUGAAAUAUGUAUCCGAAGGAGGAUUUAGUAGUAAGCAGGAAAUAGAGCGUCCCGCUGAAAUUGGCCCUGAAGCGCGCACACACCGCCCGUCACUCUCCCCGAGCCCCACAAAUGCAGUAACUAACACCUUACAAUCGCGAAGGGGAGGCAAGUCGUAACAUGGUAAGUGUACCGGAAGGUGCACUUGGAAAAAU